rnacentral:rRNA from 1 species
GACGAACGCUGGCGGCGUGCUUAACACAUGCAAGUCGAACGGAAAGGCCCCUUCGGGGGUACUCGAGUGGCGAACGGGUGAGUAACACGUGAGUAACCUGCCCUGACUUCGGGAUAACUUCAGGAAACUGGGGCUAAUACCGGAUAGGAAUCCUUGCUGCAUGGUGGGGGUUGGAAAGCUUCGGCGGUUUUGGAUGGACUCGCGGCUUAUCAGCUUGUUGGUGGGGUAGUGGCUUACCAAGGCUUUGACGGGUAGCCGGCCUGAGAGGGCGACCGGCCACAUUGGGACUGAGAUACGGCCCAGACUCCUACGGGAGGCAGCAGUGGGGAAUAUUGCACAAUGGGCGGAAGCCUGAUGCAGCAACGCCGCGGGCGGGAUGACGGCCUUCGGGUUGUAAACCGCUUUCAGCAGGGGCGAAGCUUGUGGUGACGGUACCUGCAGAAGAAGCACCGGCUAACUACGUG